rnacentral:rRNA from 1 species
AGCGAACGCUGGCGGCAGGCUUAACACAUGCAGGUCGAGCGGGCACUUCCGGGUGUCAGCGGCGGCUGGGUGAGUAACGCGUGGGAACGUGCCCUCUGGUUCGGAAUUACUCAGGGAAACUUGUGCUAAUACCGGAUACGCCCUCUUGGGGAAAGGCCGGUGGGCGGAGGAUCGGCGCGCGUCUGUUUGGCUAGUUGGUAGGGGACCGGCACACCCAGGCGAGGAUCAGUAUCUGGUCUGAGAGGAUGAUAAGCCACGCUGGGGCUGAGACACGGCCCAGACUCCUACGGAGGGGAGCAGUGGAGAAUAUUGGAGGAUGGGGGCAAGCGUGAUCCAGCCGUGCCGCGUAAGUGGUGAAGGCGGUAGGGUUGUAAAGCUCUUUGAUCCGAGACGAUAAUGACGGUACCGGGGAAAUAAGCCCCGGCUAACUUCGUG